UUACCUUUAUGACAGUGUCUGAGUACUGCCAUUGCUGAGACCUCCGGAACUGCUCAGCUUCUUGCCCUUUCUAAGGCCUGGUUGAUUAGCUACAUCUCUGGUUCUGAGAGCUAUGGCAGAAUCCUUUCAAUUUAAUGAAGCUAUCCACAAUCAUUCUCUACUGCUCUCCACCAAUAACUUCAACUAUAACCCAAAGCAGUAGUGCUCCUUCUGGGAAAUAAAAGUUGAGGAUUUGCUGGUGACAGAGGAGGGGAGGUCUUCAGUCAGAAAAUAGCAUAGGUGGUUAAUUUACAGAUUGAAAUAGCAAAUUCUUGUUUCAUAAGCACUUUACCCUGAAGGAGCUGCAGUGUUGCUUGUUACAGACGGAGUUAUUUUCCUAGUGGAUGUGAGGGGAUGG
rnacentral:lncRNA from 1 species